UAUGAUUGGAUGAGAUAACAGCUGUCUUAAUUUUAUUUAAUAUUGAAUUUUAAUUUUUAAUAAAAAUGUUAAAAUUUUUUUAAAAGACGAGAAGACCCUAUAAAUCUUUAUUUUAAUAAUAAUUUAUUUAUAUAUUUAUAAAUUUAUAUUUGAAUUUUAAUUAAAAUUGUAUUGGGGCGAUAAUUUAAUAUGAAAAACUUUUAUAAUGUAUUUAAUAUUGAUUAAUAA
rnacentral:rRNA from 1 species